UAAUUAAAGAAUCAGAAAAAAUCGGAAAAAAUCAGAAAAAAUCAGAAAAACUUAGAAAAAAAUUGGGAAUGAAUCUGGGAUGGUGUAGCUUCAGUUGCGUAUCAUAAAACGCUUCCAGGGCCGGAGGAAGAUGCGGUAACCCCCCAGACCAGGGAAAAUUGAGGGAAUUCAUUUGAUUUAUUAUCUCUAAGGCGUGACGUACGGAAACAUGUAUAAAGUGCAGCGUAGUCUACUCUCCCCCUUGAAUCUUCAAACAUUUCUCAAAAGGUGGUAUAGAACACAAGGAGUGCAUGUUCGGAUUGCCCCGAGCCCAACAGGUUACCUGCAUCUCAGAGGUCUAGCGGUAAGCUUCAAGAGGAUCCAUUCGGGCUGAGUCAUCCUGCACAAAGAACUGACAAAGGGUGGACCUGUAGGCUUCCACUUUCGAUCGAAAGUCUGCAAUUAUACAAGUAUCUAGUCAAACAUCCCUUCCGCCAGUAUUAAUCCAUCUGUUAAAAUCUCUGAUAUGUCUAUCCUUUGUAUCAUGCAGGUCCAAAAAGUUUAAUUUUCAAGACCUACAUCCUAGAGCUUAGAAUUAUUCUUUCUUUUUGUAUGGAAGAAUUAUUAAAUGCUUAAAUACACAGGCAGACAUAUGCCAAGUCCUGCAAGGAACCAGUUGCUCUCCUUAUCAUACUAGGAUAUUAGUAGAUUUGGUGUGUAGGGAUGUGAUUGAUAGUGAAUCAACAAUUUUAUAUUCAAAGUAGUUCAGUAUAUUGAUAAGUCAAAGGUCCAAAAUACAUGUUCGAACAUCGUGAUACAUAUUAUGGAUUCAUUCUCACAAAUAUAUUCAUACCUUUAUGAUCACAAUGUAA